UUGGAGGGCAAGUCUGGUGCCAGCAGCCGCGGUAAUUCCAGCUCCAAUAGCGUAUAUUAAAGUUGUUGUGGUUAAAAAGCUCGUAGUUGAACCUUGGGCCUGGCUGGCCGGUCCGCCUCACCGCGUGUACUGGUCCGGCCGGGCCUUUCCCUCUGUGGAACCCCAUGCCCUUCACUGGGUGUGGCGGGGAAACAGGACUUUUACUGUGAAAAAAUUAGAGUGCUCCAGGCAGGCCUAUGCUCGAAUACAUUAGCAUGGAAUAAUAGAAUAGGACGUGUGGUUCUAUUUUGUUGGUUUCUAGGACCGCCGUAAUGAUUAAUAGGGACAGUCGGGGGCAUCAGUAUUCAAUUGUCAGAGGUGAAAUUCUUGGAUUUAUUGAAGACUAACUACUGCGAGAGCAUUUGCCAAGGAUGUUUUCAUUAAUCAGGAACGAAAGUUAGGGGAUCGAAGACGAUCAGAUACCGUCGUAGUCUUAACCAUAAACUAUGCCGACUAGGGAUCGGACGGUGUUAUUUUUUGACCCGUUCGGCGCCUUACGGGAAAC
rnacentral:rRNA from 1 species